GUUUGUGUGGCCUAAUGGAUAAAGCGCUCGCCUCCAGAGCAGGAGAUUGUGGGUUCGAGUCUCAAUGUGAACA
rnacentral:tRNA from 1 species